UACAGAGGUCUCAAGCGUUGUUCGGAUUCAUUGGGCGUAAAGGGUGCGUAGGUGGCGCGGUAAGUCGGGUGUGAAAUUUCGGAGCUUAACUCCGAAACUGCAUUCGAUACUGCCGUGCUUGAGGACUGGAGAGGAGACUGGAAUUUACGGUGUAGCAGUGAAAUGCGUAGAGAUCGUAAGGAAGACCAGUGGCGAAGGCGGGUCUCUGGGACGGUACUGACGCUGAGACGCGAAAGCGUGGGGAGCGAACAGG
rnacentral:rRNA from 1 species